rnacentral:lncRNA from 1 species
GGCCGCGGAGGACGGCGAGACCCGGGGCUGCGGCUGCCGCCGAGGGGCGCCCGGGACAGUGAGAAGCGGCGGCGGGAGCCGGUCACCGGCAGGGCGCGCUCGGCGGUGGAGACGGCUUCAUCCGAUCCAGGGCUGGCAGGCGGCCCGGAUGGCACGCCGUCUCCCGCCGGGAAUUCCAGUUUCCCCCUAAAUCGCUCAACAAGCGAGAAGGUUUUGGGAUUCGAAUUCAGUGGGACAAGCGAAGUCGCCUUUCCUUCGUAAACAGAUGGAAUCCCUGGUCCACAAACGUGCCCUGGGCCCGUUUCGUACGACACGCGAUGGCUGGUGCGGAUGAGAACACAGCAGCUCUGUGCCAGAUGGAAAGCUUCAAGGCUCUGUGAAUCCAAGGUCAAAAACGCCAAAACGGAAAGUCCUUUGCCAGGACAAGCGCACGCGUGCUGGUCGUGGAGCGCCCCCUCCUCGUGGAGACCUGCGUGGAAUUGAUGUCCUUCAUUAACAGUGAGGCUAAGCUGGGCUAUUCCAUGACUGACCAGGGGCAAAAUUGGCUUUUAGCCGCAUUCUGGGAGCUAACCCCACUAAGAAGGCCAAGUGAUGUGGGGUCUGAGAGCCUGGCAGUCCUGCAAAGCCGCUGAUGGCUGGAAGCAUAGGGGUCUUUUACCUUUUGGGGUGUCUGCACGAUUAGAAAAGUAAAGUGGAUAGUAACUGGAUAUUGCACUCUGCUAAUGCAAGCUACAGACAAAAGCAAAAGGAAUCUAGCUGCCACUGUGCUACUGGGAUUCCAUUUUCUGUAACUUCAGUUCUGAUGUUUUUCCUGGAGUGUAUCUACUUGGCUUCCAGCGGUUCUUCCCACCCCAGCCACUCCAGCAUGCUAACACCCCGCAGCACACCCCUUACCAUUUGUGUAGGCUGCUAAAUACAGGGAGGCAGCUGGUAUCUCCAGUGUCUGUAGUCACAAAGAUGUUUACACUUGGUGUCAAUUUUUGUAUUUUACAUUUUAAUACUUUUUUUUUUUUUGAGACGGAGUCUCGCUCUGUCGCCCAGGCUGGAGUGCAGUGGCGCGAUCUCGGCUCACUGCAAGCUCCGCCUCCCGGGAGAACUGCUUGAACCCGGGAGGUGGAGGUUGUGGUGAGCGAAGAUCGCACCACUGCACUCCAGCCUGGGCGACAGAGCAAGACUUGUCUUAGAAAAAAAAGAAAGUAACAGUUUUGUUUAUUUUCCUACCAGGUUUUUUUGUUGUUGUUGUUUUGUUUUGUUUUGUUUUGUAUUCUAAUUGAAAUCACUGUUUCCUACAUACUGAGGCAGAUUGGCUUUGUCUUCUUGGAAACAAGGGUUAUUUUCCUCACUCACACUGGAGCGGGGAUACUCACCAGACACAAGCUGAGAUGAUGCUGGAUGUAAACAGGUCAUCUAUUUUUACCAAAGGCAGCACUACUGCCUUCCCAAUUGAUCAGAAAAACAUCUGAUAGCUGUCUUUGUAAUAUCCUUAUUUGAUUAAAUUACUAUGUGGCUUUCA